rnacentral:ncRNA from 1 species
GAAAAUCCGAGUGAGGGAGUGUGAUUUUCGUGCCGGACCGUACCCACAUCCGCAGCAGGUCUCCAAGGUGAACAGCCUCUAGUCGAUGGACCAAUGUAGGUAAGGGAAGUCGGCAAAACGGAUCCGUAACCUUGGGAUAAGGAUUGGCUCUGAGGACUGAGCCGGUCGGGCUGGGGACCUGAAGCAGGAACGGCACUGCACCGGGACUGGGCGGGGCUCGCCGUUCACGCGGCGCGGCCAAGCCCGGACCAGCGUCGGGACCUUCCUGUGGAAAGCCUCAGCUGCGCGGCGUCUGAGGGCUUCGUGCCCAAAGUGCUAUGCUUCGGCCGGCAAAAAACAGUCAACUCAGAACUGGCACGGACCGGGGGAAUCCGACUGUCUAAUUAAAACAAAGCAUUGCGAUGGCCGCUGGUCGGUGUUGACGCAAUGUGAUUUCUGCCCAGUGCUCUGAAUGUCAACGUGAAGAGAUUCAUCAAAGCGCGGGUAAACGGCGGGAGUAACUAUGACUCUCUUGACCCACUUGAGCGUUGUACGUUGGCCAGGCUUCGUUUUUUCGCCCCUGCUUUCUGGAGCACGGGGCGGUUUGGGUUCCUCUGCCCAGCUACCAUCAGAGUGACAAUCAAAGCUUCUUCACCAGUUUCUGGGGAGGCUCUACCACGAGGCCGGUACCGGCCUCUUCCGGGUUGUGGGCCUUGAGCUCAGCUUCCUGUGGAGUCGGGGGCCCUGCCCAUGUAACAUCUCCGGGCAGGGGAGCCGCCUGGCCUUGACUGGCCUUGUGGUUCCCCAGCACUCUUGGAGAAACAGGCAAUAGCCAAAUGCCUCGUCAUCUAAUUAGUGACGCGCAUGAAUGGAUUAACG